AUAUCAGUAAGCAGAAGAAAAGAAAUUAACUAAGAUUGCCUUAGUACCGGCGAGGGAACUGGCAAAAGCUCAAACUUAAAAUCUGUAGACCUCGUCUACCGAAUUGUAAUCUAAAGGGUGUGUCUAAAGGCUGGAUUGUAGUAUAAGUUUCCUGGAACGGGGCACCAAAGAGGGUGAAAGUCCCGUAUUUGGCUACAAGAAAGUCGAAGACUAGCCUCGUAGAGUCGGGUUGUUUGGGAUUGCAGCCCUAAAUGGGAGAUAAACUUCUUCUAAGGCUAAAUAUAUAUGGGAAACCGAUAGCGAACAAGUACUGUGAAGGAAAGAUGAAAAGAACUUUGAAAAGAGGGUUAAAAGACUUGAAAUCGUUGAUAAGGAAGCUGUAAAAACGAAUUAAUUGUACAUGAAGUAAGUGUGGUAGGCAUAAGCUUCGGCGGAGUGCAGAGCUCCAAACCUGCAUGAGUUGUAAGUCAUUGUGCCUUCAUAUGAUUUUGUGUAUAAAAGGCAAAAUGAGACACGAGCUAUAGGAAUGAGACUUCAGAAAGCCGCUGGUUCUCCAGUACUCUGAGGUUGAAACUAUCUCCGUGUCUGAGGGAGAGAUCUGAUUUUGCCAAAAUGGUUUUUACUGA
rnacentral:rRNA from 1 species